AAUCAAUGCUGACAUUUGUCGUAGGCAAUUUAUAGUUUUCCACAAUGAAUAGCAUGAUCAAUUACUAAAAGUUCCGCCUCAGUGGUUGAUAGUGAACAGAUAUAACAACGACUAAUAUUAGAUAUAUUGGUAAUCUUUUCAUCAUUUUCAAGCCAUCAAUUCCACUUCUAGGUUGUUGCUUAUUCCAAUGGUCAGGAUCUCAAGUUCGAGAACCCAAACACAAUAAACUUACAACCAAUAUUUCCAACUUAUACAAAAUAACCUAACAUGUUGAUCCAAUUGAGCAUAAUGCUAGAAUUCACUAAUUUUAUCUAAAACUAUUUAAUUAUAUUGUAUUACAUGAAAAGCUGCCUAAAGAUUAGAUCUUUGUUUUCUGCUCAAGAAUAGUUUAAACUAUUCAUUUAAUUAUUAGGAACUAGCAUUGACUUUCUUGCUCUCCUAUCUAUUUUAGCAUAAUAGAAAAAAAAAACUCACAUGUAAAAUAAAUUGCAGCAGCCACGCCGAAAAACCAAAGCAAAUCAGUUGUGAAGCAGUUGCUGGAAAAAAAUAACAGUAGGGCAGAGACGUGAAGCAGUAAAGCAGUUGCCGAAAAAAAUUAAUAGCAGCAGGGCAAAGACGUG
rnacentral:lncRNA from 1 species